rnacentral:rRNA from 1 species
GCGCAGCAGGCGCGAAACCUCCGCAAUACGCGAAAGUGUGACGGGGCCAUCCCGAGUGCCGUCCGCUGAGGACGGCUUUUCCCCAGUGUACAUAGCUGGGGGAAUAAGGAGAGGGCAAGCCUGGUGUCAGCCGCCGCGGUAAUACCAGCUCUCCGAGUGGUGGGGACGCUUAUUGGGCCUAAAGCAUCCGUAGCCGGCUGGGCAAGUCCUCCGUUAAAUCCAACGAUUCAAUCGUUGGGCUGCGGGGGAUACUGUCCAGCUUGGGGGCAGGAGAGGCCGACGGUAUUCCCGGGGUAGGGGUGAAAGUCCUAUAAUCCCGGGAGGACCACCAGUGGCGAAGGCUGUCGGCUAGAACGCGCCCGACGGUGAGGGAUGAAAGGCUGGGGGAGCGAACCGGAUUAGAUACCCCUGUAGU